rnacentral:rRNA from 1 species
UACGGGGGGGGCAAGCGUUGUUCGGAAUUACUGGGCGUAAAGGGCUCGUAGGCGGCCAACUAAGUCAGACGUGAAAUCCCUCGGCUUAACCGGGGAACUGCGUCUGAUACUGGAUGGCUUGAAUCCGGGAGAGGGAUGCGGAAUUCCAGGUGUAGCGGUGAAAUGCGUAGAGAUCGGCAGGAACACCCAGGGGGAAACCAGCCGACUGGGCAUCUACUGACGCUGAGGUGCGAGAGCGUGGGGAGCGAACCGG